CUCUUCUUCUUGCAGUGGGUUUCUAUUUUUUUUUUCUUUUUCUUUCUUCCUCCAUCCUCUUCUUCUUCUUGCAGAUGUGGGUUUCAAAUUUGUUUUUUUUUUGUUGAGAAAAUUCAGGUUUUUUAAAAAAAAUUAAAAAUUAUUUUAUUUACCAAGUGACAAACAUUUGGCAGCCACGUGGCAUAUAUGUGGCAGCCACGUCAACAUUUAACAGAUCAAUGGAUGGAAAAUGUAACGGAUGUAUUAUUUUGAAAUAAAAUAGUACUUAAGGUAUGAAAGUGAAAUGUUUUAAAGAUGUUGUAAGGAAUUGAAAUAGACCACAAACCUGAGGUAUGAAAAUGUAAUUUACUCUAUUUUUUACCAUAUUAAAACUACGCUCUCUUCAUUUUUUUUAAUUAGCCUUAUGUUUUAACAUAUAAAAAUCAAACCCUCUUUUUUAGCGAGUUGGUAUUAAACAAGGGCUUAUGCAGUCUAGAGUAGGAUCUUAUUUUAAGGAACGAAAUUUAAAUUUUUGUUCGAAUUUAAUUGUUAAUCAAAAUUUUUUUUAUCAAAACUCAUAAACAAGUUUUGAUUUAUAAUAUAAUCAUUUCAAUACUAGGUUUUUCUUAUAAAAUUUAAAACUCCACCAUUUUUGUUUCCUUAAAAUUUUUCAUGCCAAUGCAAAAGAAUAAAACUUCUAAUUUUUCUCCUGUUAAUUAUAUUGCAAUAUUUCAUAUAGCUUAAAGGCUCGUUCUAAUUUAGUUUUCUACCUCAGCCACUGCAUUUGACGUUGCCGUCCAAUAAUCGGCUCAGCCAAGGUUUUUUUUGUUUAAAGUUCCAACAAACAAAUCGGACGGUUGGCAACUCAUCACUUGGCCCACUAUGUGCCAUGUAGAUUCUAGAAAAAGUUGGUGCUUGUGGUGGGCUUUAGUUGUUCUUGAAUUCUUUUUGUCCCAACAACAAUAAAAAUAGGGUAAAUUACAUUUUGUCUCUUAGGUUUGAGAUCGAUUUCAAUUCUUUACAACAUCUUUAAAACAUUUCAAUUUCAUACCUCAAGUACUAUAUUAUUUCAAUAUAAUACAUUCGUUACAUUUUCCUCAAUUGACCCGUUAAGAGCUUACGUUGUUGCCAAAUUUGUGCCACGUGGCAAAAAAUAAUUUUUUAUACAUUAAAAAUAUUAUAAUAAUUGAUCCUAUUAAAAAAAAAAAAAUGAAACCCAUAAUCUCAAUCUCCACCGUCUUCCACUCUCUCUCUUGAACCCCAAACCCCCCAAAAUCCCCAGAUCCAAAACCCAAUGCAGCUCCACCGAGCCACCACCGUCAGCGCCUUCCUCCUCACGCUCACACUCCUCACCACCCUCACCAAAGUGCACAUCAUCACAUGCCGACCCUCCCGUCAUCAGAUCUCUUAAGCUCAUCUAGAUCGACCUGAACUCCUAUGACACCGGUUCCAUCGAAAAAAAACUACAUUUUCGUCAACUAC
rnacentral:lncRNA from 1 species